UUGUAGGUCCUUCUAGUUGUGGCAUGUGGGAUGCCGCCUCGGCAUGGCUUGAUGAGCGGUGCCAUGUCCGCGUCCAGGAUCCGAAACAGCGAAACCCUGGGCUGCUGAAGUGAAGCGCGUUAACUUAACCACUUGGCCACGGGGCCGGCCCCAAAACCAGCACUCUUAACUCAACUUCUUUGCCUCUAAUUUGUUUCAAGCCAGAUGUAUUUCCCUUAAUCAUAAAGAUGAUGUCAAAACUCAUUUGGAAACGUCUUCAGAACUCUCAUUAGCAACAUGAGGAAAAUUUUCAUUGACUUGACUGAAGGAACAGAUGAGCACGUCCAUAUAUAUUCUUGAAAGGGAAGACAAAAGCCUGCUCGCCAAUGAUGAAGGAAGAUUAGCCCUGAGCUAUCUGCCACCAAUCCUCCUCUUUUUGCUGAGGAAGACAGGCCCUGAGCUAACAUCUGUGCCCCAUCUUCCUCUACUUUAUAUGUGGGAUGCCUGCCACAGCAUGGCUGGACAAGCAGUGCCAUGUCUGCACCCAGGGACCAGGAUCCAAACUGGUGAACCCCAGGCCACCGAAGCAGAAUGUGUGAACCAAAGUGCUUUGCCACCAGGACAGCCCCUCUUGUACCUUUAUCAUAAUGUGAAGAAAGUGAAAAAUGAUGUAAAGCAACAAAUAUUUUUCCUUCAUAAUAUAUAUUUUUGGUGACAGCUUUAUUGAGAUAUAAUUCACAUAUCACACAAUUCACCUAUUUAAAGUGUACAAUACAAUGGUUUAGAGUAUGUUAACCAUUUACAGAGUUCUGCAACCAUCACCAUAAUCAAUUUUAAAACAUUUUCAUCACCCCCAAAAGAAAGCCAUACCCUUUAGCUAUCACCUCCCAGUCAUCCUUCCUAUACCUUCCAGCCCCGGGCAACCAGUACUCUAUUUUCUGUCUCUAUAGACUUGCCUAAUCUGGACAUUUCAUAUGAACAGAAUCGUAAAAUGCGACAUUUUGUGUCUGCC
rnacentral:lncRNA from 1 species